GAACACAGAAGUUAAGCCCUUCAGCGCCGAUGGUACUUGGCUGGACACGGCCCGGGAGAGUAGGUCGCCGCCGGAU
rnacentral:rRNA from 1 species